ensembl:lncRNA
UUUUUUCCAUUUUAAUUUUCUCCCACUUCCUGUUGUUUCUACUACUGACUCAGGAGCAAGGGAGGUGGUGCUGUGGCAUAUUUAAUAUUGAUAGAUCGUGACAGCUUGCAGCCUUUUAACCACUACUUGGCUUAGGCCUCCUCUAAGUGUGAGUUUUACAGUAACACAAAAACCUAUGGUAUCAUUGAAAUAGCUUUGCCUGAGGGGAAUACACAUGGAGCUGGGAUCUGGGGGAUUCCUUUGGUAAGGGUAGAAAGGUAUUGUAUUAAGGGGUGGUUUAAGAGUCAUAGCAUGAGGGGUUCAUGACACCUGGUUUUAUUUCCUACCAUUGUGUGACACUGGACAAUGCAUCCCUUUUCCCUUCUAUGGCAGGCAGAUGUCAGUAACUAUAAAAUCCAUCAGUUUGUGAAGGUCACAGCUGUUGGGGAUGACAGAAAAUCGUCUAGACAUGCUGAGCAACCUGGUUAAUGCAUAUAAGGAGUAGAAGAAUCCAAGCUACAGGAGGGUUUGGUGUGGAGAUUACUGAUGAAGAGUUUGAGCUGCUACUUGACAGAAUCCCCCUUGAUGAAGAUGGAAAUGUCAGAUACCCCCAGUUCAUGCUCAGGUUUGGUUCCUGGUAUGCAGCAUAUGCAUUUUAUUUCUCAUUUGUGAAUAGAAUUAUUUUUAAUCUAAAAGGUUUGCAUAAUAUUUCCAGACUAAAUCUCAUUUCUUAACUGUGCUCCUUUAUGACAUAUUUCUUACACAGAGUGUGCUGAUUACAUUUAAAAUUAGCUGAUGUUGUGGGUGCAUGCUGUUUGUAAUUUGUUGCUCUUUACAUGUUAUUUAUAUAUUUUAGAAGAAAGACUUCAAAGUUUUAUAUAACAAAAUCUUUGUGUUUUCUGAUGGUUGGGAAAUACGUCAGACUUCUAAAUAAAAUUAUUAAUAAUAGAAUUAUUUCCAGAAAACAGUAAUAAAUGUACUUAAUAUAUAUUUGAGAACUUGAAGGCCCUAUAUUUACAGGCCCUAUAUAUAGUCUAAAGUACAUCUGAGAUGCUGAUAUUGGUUAAUAGAAACUCUACGCACCCUCCAAGGCCUAGCUGUGAAUUAGUUUAAUUAAAAUAAAAAACAUUGGACCAGAUAAAGAUAUUCUAUUAUUUCCCAAAAAUUAAAACUCUAUCCCCAAAACUGUCAUGCCAGUAGCAGGACAGAAGCCAGUGUAAUUUCUGAGGUCAAUGAAAGACUUGUGGAAUCUGGGACUGGAGAAAGCCAUUCCACCCAUGAAAACCAAAGAAGUAAAUUCCAGCAAUGUCCCACACAGUUGUAUGUGCACAUAAGAGUUAAACUGCUCAGUUAUUUAUUUUAUUUAUCAGGUAAGGGUAAGGUCUGCAUACACACAAGGGUAGGUAGAAGUCUGAGUUCUCUGUAUAGAAACCACAUGAGAUACCUUCCUGAACUUCAAGUAGCAAACCAACUAAUAUUGCAGACCUGAUGAAAUUGCAUCUUCCUUCCCACUCCAUUCAAUCAUCUUUCACUCUUUCUUUUCCUCUGUCCUUGCCUUCCUGCUUCAGGAAGCUUUGGGGCUGAAUUCAUCUGUCUACACAUUUCCACACAAGGCAGUUGGAUAUGACACAGGAUUAACGAGAUAUAUGUGACCUUCUAAACGAUAUCUCCAAGGUAAUCUCCAAACAUGAAAUUGCAUCUUCCUUCCCACUCCAUUCAAUCAUCUUUCACUCUUUCUUUUCCUCUGUCCUUGCCUUCCUGCUUCAGGAAGCUUUGGGGCUGAAUUCAUCUGUCUACACAUUUCCACACAAGGCAGUUGGAU